rnacentral:rRNA from 1 species
UCGAGAAUCUUCGGCAAUGGGCGCAAGCCUGACCGAGCGACGCCGCGUGCGGGAUGAAGGCCUUCGGGUUGUAAACCGCUGUCAGUGGGGAGGAAAUGCCGGGGGGUUCACCCCUCGGUUUGACCUAUCCGCAGAGGAAGGACGGGCUAAGUUCGUGCCAGCAGCCGCGGUAAGACGAACCGUCCAAACGUUAUUCGGAAUCACUGGGCUUAAAGGGUGCGUAGGCGGCCUGGCAAGUCGGGUGUGAAAGCCCUCGGCCCAACCGAGGAAUUGCGCCCGAAACUGCCGGGCUCGAGGAAGGUAGAGGUGAGCGGAACUUAGGGUGGAGCGGUGAAAUGCGUUGAUAUCCUAAGGAACACCAGUAGCGAAAGCGGCUCACUGGGCCUUUUCUGACGCUGAGGCACGAAAGCUAGGGGAGCGAACGG